UGAUAGGGUGGGAAGCAAGGACCAAGCUA
rnacentral:piRNA from 1 species